rnacentral:rRNA from 1 species
UACGAAGGGGGCUAGCGUUGUUCGGAAUUACUGGGCGUAAAGCGCACGUAGGCGGAAUGUUAAGUCAGGGGUGAAAUCCCGGGGCUCAACCCCGGAACUGCCUUUGAUACUGGCAUUCUCGAGUCCGGAAGAGGUGAGUGGAAUUCCGAGUGUAGAGGUGAAAUGCGCAGAUAUCAGGAGGAACACCGGUGGCGAAGGCGGGUCUCUGGGCCGAUACUGACGCUGAGGAGCGAAAGCGUGGGGAGCGAUCCGG